CCUACGGGAGGCAGCAGUGAGGAAUAUUGGUCAAUGGGCGGAAGCCUGAACCAGCCAAGUAGCGUGCAGGAUGAUGGCCCUACGGGUUGUAAAUUGCUUUUAUACGGGAAUAACGCGCCUUACGUGUAGGGCUUUGCAUGUACAGUAUGAAUAAGGACCGGCUAAUUCCGUGCCAGCAGCCGCGGUAAUACGGAAGGUCCGGGCGUUAUCCGGAUUUAUUGGGUUGAAAGGGAGCGGAGGCCGCCUGUCAAGCGUGCUGUUAAAUGUCCGGGCUCAACCCGGGCCUUGCAGCGCGAACUGGCGUGCUUGAGUCCGCGGAAGGCAGGCGGAAUUCGUCGUGUAGCGGUGAAAUGAUUAGAUAUGACGAAGAACACCGAUUGCGAAGGCAGCUUGCUGCAGCGGAACUGACGCUGAUGCUCGAAAGCGCGGGUAUCGAACAGGAGUAGAUACCCGAGUAGUC
rnacentral:rRNA from 1 species